GCUGAAGUGGCAGAUUUAUGCAAUAGCUUUAAAGACUAUAGAAGGCUAAGCCCUUUAGCA
rnacentral:tRNA from 1 species